CCGCCGGUAGCGUAGUGGUUAUCGCACCAGACCGGUAAUCCGGAGGUCGUGGGUUCGAAUUCCACCCGGCGGG
rnacentral:tRNA from 1 species